UACAGGGGGGGCAAGCGUUGUUCGGAAUCACUGGGCGUAAAGGGCGCGUAGGCGGCCGAUUAAGUCGGGGGUGAAAGCCUGUGGCUCAACCACAGAAUUGCCUUCGAUACUGAUUGGCUUGAGACCGGAAGAGGUCAGUGGAACUGCGAGUGUAGAGGUGAAAUUCGUAGAUAUUCGCAAGAACACCAGUGGCGAAGGCGGCUGACUGGUCCGGUUCUGACGCUGAGGCGCGAAAGCGUGGGGAGCAAACAGG
rnacentral:rRNA from 1 species